GACGUAGGGCGCGAGCGUUGUCCGGAUUUAUUGGGCGUAAAGAGCUCGUAGGCGGCUUGUCGCGUCGACUGUGAAAACCCGCGGCUCAACCGUGUGGCUUGCAGUUGAUACGGGCAGGCUAGAGUUCGGUAGGGGAGACUGGAAUUCCUGGUGUAGCGGUGAAAUGCGUAGAUAUCUGGAGGAACACCGGUGGCGAAGGCGGCAUCCUGGACCAACACUGACGCUGAGGAGCGAAAGCCAGGGGAGCAAACGGG
rnacentral:rRNA from 1 species